rnacentral:rRNA from 2 species
GGGUUGUGAGGUUAAGCGACUAAGCGUACACGGUGGAUGCCCUGGCAGUCAGAGGCGAUGAAGGGCGUGCUAAUCUGCGAUAAGCGCCGGUAAGGUGAUAUGAACCGUUAUAACCGGCGAUACCCGAAUGGGGAAACCCAGUGUGACUCGUCACACUAUCAUUAACUGAAUCCAUAGGUUAAUGAGGCGAACCGGGGGAACUGAAACAUCUAAGUACCCCGAGGAAAAGAAAUCAACCGAGAUUCCCCCAGUAGCGGCGAGCGAACGGGGAGGAGCCCAGAGCCUGAAUCAGCAUGUGUGUUAGUGGAAGCGUCUGGAAAGGCGCGCGAUACAGGGUGACAGCCCCGUACACAAAAGCGCAUGUGCUGUGAGCUCGAUGAGUAGGGCGGGACACGUGGUAUCCUGUCUGAAUAUGGGGGGACCAUCCUCCAAGGCUAAAUACUCCUGACUGACCGAUAGUGAACCAGUACCGUGAGGGAAAGGCGAAAAGAACCCCGGCGAGGGGAGUGAAAAAGAACCUGAAACCGUGUACGUACAAGCAGUGGGAGCACAGGUUUACCUGUGUGACUGCGUACCUUUUGUAUAAUGGGUCAGCGACUUAUAUUCUGUAGCAAGGUUAACCGUAUAGGGGAGCCGUAGGGAAACCGAGUCUUAACCGGGCGUUAAGUUGCAGGGUAUAGACCCGAAACCCGGUGAUCUAGCCAUGGGCAGGUUGAAGGUUGGGUAACACUAACUGGAGGACCGAACCGACUAAUGUUGAAAAAUUAGCGGAUGACCUGUGGCUGGGGGUGAAAGGCCAAUCAAACCGGGAGAUAGCUGGUUCUCCCCGAAAGCUAUUUAGGUAGCGCCUCGUGAAUUCAUCUCCGGGGGUAGAGCACUGUUUCGGCUAGGGGGCCAUCCCGGCUUACCAACCCGAUGCAAACUGCGAAUACCGGAGAAUGUUAUCACGGGAGACACACGGCGGGUGCUAACGUCCGUCGUGAAGAGGGAAACAACCCAGACCGCCAGCUAAGGUCCCAAAGUCAUGGUUAAGUGGGAAACGAUGUGGGAAGGCCCAGACAGCCAGGAUGUUGGCUUAGAAGCAGCCAUCAUUUAAAGAAAGCGUAAUAGCUCACUGGUCGAGUCGGCCUGCGCGGAAGAUGUAACGGGGCUAAACCAUGCACCGAAGCUGCGGCAGCGAC